GCAUUUUCUCUGAGACAGCUGCCAUUCUAGUCUCCCAGCCAUUCUUAGGAAGAGACGUGCCUGUCUCUGGGAAGAGGCAACUUCUCUGCAUGUCAGAGGAUGCUGGUCUUUCAAGUCCCUGCUGCUUUGGAAGAUCUCUGAGGCCUUCAACCACAUUCUUUGUAUUUAUGUCCUACUCUUCUACUUGUUCUCUGUGGAAGAGAGACAGAGGAAAAAAGCUACUGUAACCUUAUCCUAAGUGGAUGCCUAGGUGAACAUUUUGGAUGGUCACUUAACCUAAGUCUCAGUUUCCUCAUUAAUAAAAUGGGGGCACAUGAGACAUACCUCAUGAGGUUGUUUCGAGGCUUAAAUAUACGUUAAAUGUAUUUUGUGAGCCUAAAAGAUAUUUAAACACAAGCCGCUAUUACAUCUUUACAUGAUUGAAGUUCCUGAAGGAGACCUGUAGUGGGUGUCUAUACAGGGCAGUUGGUUCAUGUGGCCAGGUCUACUUGGGGAUGUGAAUGGAAGUUUACUUCUUCUGGGAACUUUGAUUGUUAAUAUUGUUGGAUUUAUCACUCUUUAGUGAAACAAGUUACUUCCUCAUGGUGGUAAGAAGUCCCAGAACACUGUUCCAAACACUUUCCCAAAGGCUCAUCCUUGAAAACCCAAGGCCAUCAACAAGCCAUUGGACUACCCUUUUUUCAAAUACACAUCUUUCUGGCAAACAGGGGAUUCUUCUAAAAUAAUUUGAAGAAAUGAAAAAUACCAGCUUACGUGCUUCACUCUGAGAUCAUUUCUGUCCUGUUAGGUACAAUCUUAGGGUUUAUCCCUGACUUUUCCCCCUGAGCAAGUCUUACUCAGCUCAGGUGAUAUAAGACAGUUGCACAACUUAUUGGUCUUUUUUGAGUAAAUAUUUGCUUGAGCUUCAGUUCUUUUUAUCACUGUCCUGACAGUUCUACAUUUACCCACAAGUUGUAGAACUCUCUGGCUUUUUCUCCCUGUGCAAGAUCAGCACCAUCCUUGUAACAGAAAGAUGCAUUUGUCCAUCACUUGAGUGAUCUUUUUGAGAGACCACUUUACCUCUUCUCUACUGAGUAGUGGAUGAUAAGACCUACUUCUAGUCCAUUCCACCUGGCAUUUGAAAUAUCACCUUUUUAUACCCAUUAUCAUAUCCACUAUUUAAGGAAUCUCAGCAUCCUGAUGUCUUUUUGUCUAUAGGAAACCUACUCUGACUCAAAUCUGCCAUUAAAGUCUGAACAAUGCAGCCACUGAUCAGGCCUCAGACAGGCUUGACUUACACAUGUUAUCUCAGAGGGAUAUCAAUGUGAUUCAGGAUCACCCACUAAAACCUGAGCUCCAACUAGCCUUUUGAAUUGGCUGACAAGCUCCUUGCCUGCCCUGAUGGAACAGAACACCAGACACUAUGGGGGGAAGUGAGAGGGAAAGUUCUAGUCUCUAAAGCCAUGGUUUUCAUUUGGGAGUUAUGGGCAGUAGGGAAAACACUUCUACAAUGCAAAUUCCAGACUAUACCUUUGGCCUACUAAAUCAGAACCCAGGGUGGAGGCAACCCUUCCCCUUUCUUCUCCUUUCCCUAUCCAAAGAAAAGCCAUGGUAGCAAGGCACAGAGGGGGUUGAAGUGCCUGUGUGCCAGGGUCAUCAAGAGAGCACUGGCAUCUAAGGGUGGUAGGUUUGCCACCAUUUUGACUGUGCCAGGGCUCAAUAGAUAGUCAAGAAUAAAAUUAUUGGACAGCAAAAUUCCUGGGUGUAGGAGACAUAGUGCAGCUAUACUAUUUAUUCACUCUGCAUCUGGAAGUAAUUGAUUCAAUCUCUUAAACAGCAAUUUCUUAAAUAGGAAGUGGGCUAAUGAGAUAGGUGUUUGGUAAAAGUUUAGUGCUUGACAAGUUGGUUUUUGUUGUUGAUGCUAUCAACAGCAUUCUUCAAAUGAUGAAGAAUUAGAUGUUAUCAUCUUCAGUGCCUUUCAAGAUUCCAAAUGAAAAUUGGCUGACUCAAGGUUGAUUUGUACUAAACACUUCCUCAUUAUGCUAAACAGACGUCUCAUGGCCAAGUUGGUUUGCCCUUUCUUCAUUCUCAAUAUUUUAGGAACGCAUGUUUACAAUUUUUUAACUCUCUUGGAAAGAAGUUUGGUAAUAUGUAUUAAUAGGCUUUAAAUGUCUCUUCCUCAGACCAAGGAAAUUUUUAGACAGCUAUUUUAUUUAUUUAUUUAUUUUAUUUUUUGGAGAGAUUAUCACUUCUAUUGCUUUAUCCAUACCAUCUUACAUAUGACCAAUAGGAGAAUUUCUAUUCCCUAAUAGUGAGAGCUGGUUUAUCUCACAUUCUAAUAGUAGGAAACUCUAUCUAUGAUAUUUCCAAAUUUGCCAGAAUCCGUGUCCAUAAUGAUAGCUUCAUGGCUUAGAAAAUUCUGAUGUGCCUGAUUCUGAACAGAAUUUCCUACAGUGAAUUUCCUACAGUGUACCUUGUUGCAAUCAUAUUAUUCUUUGUAAAUUGGCCAUACAUUUUGGUAUAAAAAUAAUGAGAACCCCAUUCCCUGAUCAUUCAAGAUAACUGAGUUCACCACCUUAUGGAGCAAACACAAUCCCAAAUGGAUUAGACUUUCAGCACUAGUUGAUAACUAUUUUAAUAUGAAUUGGUUCUUCAUCAGCUCUCAUUUCUUUCUACUAAAAGAUUCUGAGGAAGAUGGAAAGCCAAGCUUGGGUACACAGAAUACAAUACCUUUGUUUUACUUGGGGUGAUGAUGUUGUUUCAGGUGGUCCAUUCCCAAAAUAUAUCCACGAACCCCAGAUUAGAUGUUGAUGGCCACUCAGUCCUUCUUAAUAGCAAUGAAUGGAAAUGGGUUUUACCAAGAAAUUUCAACAUUUUCUUGCUUCCACAUAAACCUUUUGAUGUAUUUUCUAACAUUUCACAACUAGAUUAAAACAUAACACGUAAGGGGUCUGUUACCCCUCCCAAGCCCAUCUCCAUUAAGAAACAACACACACACACACACACAAAAGAAACAUCAGGCUGCACAAUAAAGGGGUCACCUUACAUAAUGCACAAAGCUGUGCAUGCUGCCUUCUCUCACAUGCUCAUGGUAGCUAAUGCUCUGCACAUGAGAGGGGCUCUAUAAAAGUGGUCAAAUGACAAAAAUGGUAGGUUGUAUAACAAAAGCAGCACACACUAAAAUUAUAAUUCUCAUAUUCACAAAAGCAGAGGUAGGCCUUUUCUUGUGACUGUUAGAAGUUCUGCAUGGAUGAAUGCUAGGUCACUAUCAGAAUUGUUUUCCCAUCUGUUUUUCCACCCACUCCCUGCUAUUGGUUUAGCAUGUUUUCGAUACCUCAAUAACUCAAAGGUCAAAUGUUUCCUUCCCAGGUAUAUUUCCAGCCUCUGUAGUAAAGUUUGUAAGCUCUCAUGUCUCAAGAGGAGUCUAAUAAAUUCACUGUUUUGUUUAGUCUGAAGAUCUUAGCCAGAAGCAACUAGAGAGCUGUAUUAGUAUUUGGUUUAUUUCAAAAUUGGUGAGCAUGCUUUGAAUUUUGAAAAUCCCUAUGUGAUAACUCUUAGGAAGAGCCCUUCUGGCCACUCAGAGGCUUAUCUGCAAAUGGGUGGAUGUUUUACUUAAAUGUAAAACCCAAAACCAUAAAAACCCUAGAAGAAAACCUAGGCAAUACCUUUCAGGACGUAGGCAUGGGCAAAUACUUCAUGACAAAAACACCAAAAGCAAUUGCAACAAAAGCCAACAUUGACAAAUGGGGUCUAAUUAAGCUAAAGAGCUUCUGCACAGCAAAAGAAACUAUCAUCAGAGGGAAUAGGCAACCUAGAGAAUGGAAGAAAGUUUUUGCAAUCUAUCCAUCUGGCAAAGGUCUAAUAUCCAGAAUUUACAAGUAACUUAACCAAAUUUACAAUUAAAAAAACCCAUUAAAAAGUGGGCAAAGGGUAUGAACAGACACUUCUCAAAAGAAGACAUUUAUGCGGCCAAAAAACAUGAAAAAAAGCUCAACAUCACUGAUCAUCAGAGAAAUGCAAAUCAAAAUCACAAUGAGAUACCAUCUCACACCAGUCAGAAUGGCGAUUAUUAAAAACUCAGGAAACAAUAGAUGCUGGUGAGUCUGUGGAGAAAUAGGCACGCUUUUACAAUGCUGGUGGGAAUGUAAAUUAGUUCAACCACUGUGGAAGACAGCAUGGCGAUUCCUCAAGGAUCUAGAACCAGAAAUACCAUUUGACCGAGCAAUCCCAUUACUGGGUAUAUACCCAAAGGAAUAUAAAUCAUUCUACUAUAAAGACACACGCACACGUAUGUUUACUGCAGCACUAUUUACAAUAGUAAAGACUUGGAACCAACCCAAAUGCCCAUCAAUGAUAGACUGGAUUUAAAAAAUAUGGUACACAUGCACCACAGAAUACUAUGCAGCCAUAAAAAGGAAUGAGAUCAUGUACUUUGCAGGGACAUGGAUGAAGCUGGAAGCCAUCAUUCUCAGCAAACUAACACAGGAAGAGAAAACCAAAUACUGCAUGUUCUCACUCAUAAGUGGGAGUUGAACAAUGAGAACACAUGGACACAGAGAGGGAAACAACACACACCAGGGCCUGUUGGGGGGUGGGGGGUGAGGGGAGGGAACUUGGAGGAUGGGUCAAUAGGUGUGGCAAACCACCAUGGGGUGCGUAUUCCUAUGUAACAAACCUGCACAUUCUGCACAUGUAUCCCAUUUUUUUAGAAGAAAUUUAAAAAAAGCUAUUUUAAAGAAAUGGACAAGCUCAUAAAAUUGUUUUUAUAUCUUCAAUAAAGUAUUGCUUGUCAACACUAAAAUAUUAUU
rnacentral:lncRNA from 1 species